ACUUAGUUAACAAACCGGUUUGUACAGACCUUGCCGCUAGGGGUCAGCACUGUUGACGAAGUGUGCAGGCACAAGAGACUGGUCAUAUGGUAUUUGCUUCAAAGUGCGGGUCGACAAAACAGUUGUAGCGGGUGUACACACUUUUGUUGAAUCUGGAAUUAGGCCAAAGUAUCUACAGGUGUGAUGAUUUCUUGAUUUUCGUUCCGAAAACACUUUUUCUGUUCCGUAUCAGGCAAAGUGGAGGUGCGAGUUUCACAGCCCGAGGAGUGCUGUCACAUUUGACGAAAUCUGACGCUCACAAAACUCAACAGGCUGACUGGAUUUCAGCACUGAGACUCUAGAUCCUGAGAAAGAUAUGACAACGU